UUCUUUCUUCUUCUUCUUCUUCUUCUAGGGUGUAUUGGUAAACAACGAGCUGCACAUUACCGCCACCAACUGUUUCAUUGGAGUGAAGAACAACAUCAGUCAGCUCUUUCACACAUGAUCAGUUCUCAAAGAUGCAUUUACAUCAUAUACACUGAUCUGACAUUCUACAGAAGAAAUCCACAAACAACGUUGAGUUAUUGUGUUUAUGAUAAUCUGACAUGCACAUUACCCUAGAUAGAAAUAAAAUUAUCCAGCUAACUAUAUAAUUUAAGAUAUAACAUAUAACAUAAGAAGAUGAAAGUCCCUUUCACUUUCACAUACUUGUGAAUCCAGUCUGAUAAACCUAGACCUAAACAUUAACAUACAUGCUAAUAUAAUAAAAACUACACUUCGGAUCAUUCCUCUCCGAGUAGCGGCUAUUUAAAAGUCAGAGUGAAACCUGCUAUUAUAUGGCUCAUGUUAUUAUACCUGUGCAUAAGUGCAAAUUAUUAAACAUUCAAUAGAGCUUUA